rnacentral:lncRNA from 1 species
AUGACUUUUUGUGUCCACUUCAAACCGCAUGGAGAUUGUCGAUGCAUGCUACCGGGAGGUCUUCUGUGUCUUGAGUGUGACGGAUGUGGGGAGGUGUUGCUGAAAGAGGAAGCUGCUGUUGUGCUGCUUCUACAGAACAAUGAAGGCUGCCACACAACUGAAGGUAUGAUUGGAAACGCCAGUCUGCUGGCUGCAGUCCUGACAGUUGUGUCAGUGGUGUCUCUAAGUGUAGUGUCUGUUCUCUGUCUGCGCUGCAGAAGGAAAUCUAAGAUCAUACAUGAGGAGCAUCAAGUAUACAACCCGCAGACAUUUCAACGCGAGGGAAGUGUGUUUGCUGUGACACAAUCAAAAACAGUCACCAGAGCCAAUCAGAUAUCUUCAACCACAGUUGAAAUUCAAGAAUUACCACAAGCUGAAAUCGAUGAUCAGUCAGACUAUGAAAAUAUCUCAGAUGCCCAAGUAGGAACACAUGUGGAACAUACAUAUGUCGCUCCACUCCCGAAUUCACUGUAUGUGAAUGAAGAAAAAAGUUUAACUGGUGAGAAUUUUUACAUGUUCUUCUACUUUUGUACUUUUACCUUAAACCUUAAACCCAUACAUUGUUAUUUUCUAGAUGCUGAUCAGACUCCAGAUGUCUAUGCAAACAUUAUCACAUCAUUGCCAAUAGCUGAAGGUAUGUCCACACAUUAUAUUAUAAAAUGUUAA